UACGUAGGCAGCAAGCGUUGUUCGGAGUUACUGGGCGUAAAGCGUGCGCAGGCGGUUCGUUGUGUCGGUGGUGAAAGCCCCGGGCUUAACCUGGGAAUGGCCAUGGAAACUGGCGAACUGGAGUGUGGCAGAGGGGGGUGGAAUUCCGCGUGUAGCAGUGAAAUGCGUAGAGAUGCGGAGGAACACCGAUGGCGAAGGCAGCCCCCUGGGCUAGCACUGACGCUCAGGCACGAAAGCGUGGGGAGCAAACAGG
rnacentral:rRNA from 1 species